rnacentral:rRNA from 1 species
CAGCCGCCGCGGGAAUACGUAGGGUGCAAGCGUUAAUCGGAAUUACUGGGCGUAAAGCGUGCGCAGGCGGUUUUGUAAGACAGAGGUGAAAUCCCCGGGCUAAACCUGGGAACUGCCUUUGUGACUGCAAGGCUAGAGUACGGCAGAGGGGGAUGGAAUUCCGCGUGUAGCAGUGAAAUGCGUAGAUAUGCGGAGGAACACCGAUGGCGAAGGCAAUCCCCUGGGCCUGUACUGACGCUCAUGCACGAAAGCGUGGGGAGCAAACAGGAUUAGAUACCCCUGUAGUCCCUGUCUCUUAUCC